AGACCCGAAACCCGGUGAUCUAGCCAUGGGCAGGUUGAAGGUUGGGUAACACUAACUGGAGGACCGAACCGACUAAUGUUGAAAAAUUAGCGGAUGACCUGUGGCUGGGGGUGAAAGGCCAAUCAAACCGGGAGAUAGCUGGUUCUCCCCGAAAGCUAUUUAGGUAGCGCCUCGUGAAUUCAUCUCCGGGGGUAGAGCACUGUUUCGGCUAGGGGGCCAUCCCGGCUUACCAACCCGAUGCAAACUGCGAAUACCGGAGAAUGUUAUCACGGGAGACACACGGCGGGUGCUAACGUCCGUCGUGAAGAGGGAAACAACCCAGACCGCCAGCUAAGGUCCCAAAGUCAUGGUUAAGUGGGAAACGAUGUGGGAAGGCCCAGACAGCCAGGAUGUUGGCUUAGAAGCAGCCAUCAUUUAAAGAAAGCGUAAUAGCUCACUGGUCGAGUCGGCCUGCGCGGAAGAUGUAACGGGGCUAAACCAUGCACCGAAGCUGCGGCAGCGACACUCAGGUGUUGUUGGGUAGGGGAGCGUUCUGUAAGCCUGUGAAGGUGUGCUGUGAGGCAUGCUGGAGGUAUCAGAAGUGCGAAUGCUGACAUAAGUAACGAUAAAGCGGGUGAAAAGCCCGCUCGCCGGAAGACCAAGGGUUCCUGUCCAACGUUAAUCGGGGCAGGGUGAGUCGACCCCUAAGGCGAGGCCGAAAGGCGUAGUCGAUGGGAAACGGGUUAAUAUUCCCGUACUUGGUGUUACUGCGAAGGGGGGACGGAGAAGGCUAUGUUGGCCGGGCGACGGUUGUCCCGGUUUAAGCGUGUAGGUGUGUGUUCCAGGUAAAUCCGGUUCACUUUAACACUGAGGCGUGAUGACGAGGCACUACGGUGCUGAAGCAACAAAUGCCCUGCUUCCAGGAAAAGCCUCUAAGCAUCAGGUAACAUCAAAUCGUACC
rnacentral:rRNA from 1 species